AGGUUAAGAUGAAAGAAGGAACCCAUCAUUCAUACAAACAGCUGAAUAUGUUAUCAGACUUCAUUAAGAACAGUGGGUUAGUGCUUCUUGAACGGAUCAGGGCUCUGCAACUGUCGGAUUGUACAAUUAUCAUAUAAUGGUUGAGAGGUAUGUAAUAUCACAUAAUAUUUUUUUUUCUUCGUUUUCUCUCUGAAUUUCCCUCCUUUUACGCUUUAGGGGUAUUUUUUUUUCCUCUCUUUAAGUUUUUGCCCCCUAAUAAGACACUAAUUUAGUCAAGGAUGUAAUAAUUCAAUCGCAUGCAUGCUGAGAUUUCAUUUAGUCAAUGCAAUCAUAGGAUUUGAGAAGAUACAAAUAAUGAUGGAUCAAAUCCAGACUUUUUUUCGCCUUU